AUUCUAAAAUGCAGUGACAAUUCCACAACCGGCUCGGUUCGGCCGCGGUGCCACCUCUCACUCCGCCUCCGCCUCCGCCUCCGCCUCCUCGGUUGCGGAACCUGUCUUCUGCGCCACGGAGGAAGAUUUCGCCGACCGCUUGGCCUUCAUCUACAAAAUCCGUCCCCACCCGGAGCCGUUCAGCAUCUGCCAUAUCUACAAAAUUGAUCAGAAGAGGUUAAGAAAACUGGUAUUCAACCACUACAUGGAACCUUCACAGUGUCAACUUGUUAGCACAUAUUCUCUUCUGCAUGUUGUUGAAUUUUUUUUCCCCAUUUCAAUUGAUAUACAUUAUAUUGAUGUUGCAAUUUUCCUUAUCACAAACAAAUUAUGAAGUGAAGUCAUAAGUAAUGCAUUUUAAAGAAUAUCUUUAAUGUUAA